rnacentral:rRNA from 1 species
AUGUCUACUCCGGCCGGCGACGGCGAGGACCCCGGCGCAGGGACGCUGGAAGCAGCAGCGCCAUUCUCUGCCGACUGGAAGGAGCGGAUCUUGGUCCCCGUCGUGGCCGCCGGUGUUGCCGGAGCUGGGUUCGGGCUGCUGUCGCGGCACAGGGCGCGCCUUGGCCCGAUCCGCGCUGCCGCUACAUAUGCGGCUAACCUCUCCAUCGUGGCCGGAUGCUACGGAGGUGCACGUGAACUUGCAAGAGAUGCUCGAGCUACAACACCUGAUGACCUCAUGAAUUCUGUUGUUGGUGGGCUAGCAAGUGGAGCUGUUCUUGGCCGAAUACAAGGUGGUCACUUUGGGGCGGUGAAAUAUGCAGUCACCCUAACGGUUGCUGGUACUGCACUGGACUACGCCGCGAUGAAGCUAAGCCCUGAAUGGCGUGAUUGGAAAGAGCAUUUGUCCGUUGAUAAGAAAGACUGGUUUACUGUACCCGAAUGGUCACCUAUCCAAGUGCUCGAUGAGGAGGCCUUGGCGAAGAAACGAGAGCGAGAGGAGUUGCUGUUUGCUCAGCAAGCACUUGGUAAAGUUAGCAAGGAGGAGCCUUAG